rnacentral:misc_RNA from 1 species
GAAAUGCGAUAAGUAAUGUGAAUUGUAGAAUUCAGUGAAUCAUCGAAUCUUUGAACGCACCUUGCGCUCCUUGGUAUUCCUUGGAGCAUGCCUGUUUGAGUAUCAUGAAAUCUUCAAAGUAAAUCUUUUGUUAACUCAAUUGGUUUCUACUUUGGUAUUGGAGGUCUUUGCAGCUUCACACCUGCUCCUCUUUGUACAUUAGCUGGAUCUCAGUGUUAUGCUUGGUUCCACUCGGCGUGAUAAGUUAUCUAUCGCUGAGGACACUGUAAAAGGUGGCCAAGGUAAAUGCAGAUGAACCGCUUCUAAUAGUCCAUUGACUUGGACAAUACUUUUAUGAUCUGAUCUCAAAUCAGGUAGGACUACCCGCUGAACUUAAGC